rnacentral:rRNA from 1 species
UACGUAGGUGGCAAGCGUUGUCCGGAUUUACUGGGCGUAAAGAGCGCGCAGGCGGUCGUUCAAGUCGCGUGUGAAAGCCCCCGGCUCAACUGGGGAGGGUCACGCGAUACUGAUCGACUCGAAGGCAGGAGAGGGUAGUGGAAUUCCCGGUGUAGUGGUGAAAUGCGUAGAUAUCGGGAGGAACACCAGUGGCGAAGGCGGCUCACUGGCCCGUAACUGACGCUGAGGUGCGAAAGCCAGGGGAGCAAACGGG